CCCAGGCAGCAGCGCGUGUGUCGGUGCCCAGCUCUGCUCGCCCCAGGAACGCGCUUUGCCAAGCUGGUGGAGGGUUGAGGACCGGCAGGAGCCUGACGUGAGGAUGAGAUGUGCUGGUGACUGCAAGCGCCGUGGGCUCAGCACAGCUUCCUCCCUGUAUCCGGGUACGAGGGGUAAAGCAAGAUACAGGCUGCCCCUGCUCUCCGAGACUGCGCAUCGCUCCGCCUCGGGCACAGCACCCGCCGGGAAGCGCCCAGAAGAUGCUGAGCCGUCGGCUUCCUUCUGCGGCGGCGCUGCGGGAACCCAGCCACUCGCGGCUCCGGGAGAGUUGGAUGGGGAGCACCGAGUCAGUGUGUCCCAAUGGCGGAACGUGCCCUAUUUGUCAUCGUGUUGCAGGUUGCAAGUGGCUUAAAGAAGGCAGUGGCGGCUGCAGAGGUCCCUUCUUCCCUACCCGGAGAACAUUCCUCCCGAAGGGUGCCGUGUCUCAGGCUCCACAGUUCUGCAACACGUGGGUAAAACGUGAGCAAAGGUUUCACCGAGAGCCGCGGGCUCCGAGGCGGAGACCAGCAGAACACCCCUGGACCGGGGUCCAAUCUGGCUCUAGGCUGCCACGGACGCUCUCCUGCAUGGGUUCCUCGGGUCUCGGACAAAGAAACCCAUCGAGGGGGUCAUCGGGGCGGGGGGGGUUCUCUGUCCCUGUUGUCGCCAGUGGGUGAUCAGUGUCAGUAAAAUCCCCCUGGUCUCUCGCACACCUGGCUGGGGGGGCACCCAGCAGCACCCGUGCCUGGCUGUCGGGGUGAGUUAUACGCGUAAACACCUUUUUCCAGACUUUCCCCCCCCCAGGUGCACUCAAUAGAGGGUGGGAAGCGCUGUGUGGUGAGGCAGCCCGCUCCCUGCUCCCUCCGGUAAACCCGGGCUGGAGAAGUGGACCGUUUGUGGAUUAUCUGUUUCUAUGGUGAUAGAUCGGAAUAAACGUGGUGUGGUCCUGGCUGCCUUCAGCUGCCUGUUUUCUGCAAGGUCUCCGUUAUCAACAGCGAAAAUGCAGCGUCUAAUUCCCCGGAGACCGUCAGCUGAGACUCGUGGGCAAGAUCAUGGGCUUUAGCCCGUGAAAAAUCUCUGUGGCAAAGCUGCACGCGAAAGUCACAGGCUGCGGCAGCGCAGUUAAUCACCAGCACCGCCCUGGUGCCAGGGACACAGAAAUUGCUAUAAGGGAGGAAAAAAAAAAAAAAAAAAGAAAAAAGAUGUUUUUCAAUUUUCGUCUUGUAGAGACAGAAAUAUCGUGUUGUCAUGGGCAGAUCAGAAACUGGAAAAUCCACAGAUGCCCUACGUAGUAAUAAAAAAAAGGAGGCCGACGCAGACGUGAGUUUUUAAAGUUAUAACAUUAUUUUGGGGAGGAGUUAUAAAAAGAGGCAUGUAUUUUUUUCCAAAAUAUUCACCUUUUGUCCUUAGAUGUGAAAUCUGCCAUUUCCAAAUUCGGCUCCCACAUCCGUGCGCAAAGGGGAGCCGAGCAGCCGCCAGCAGAGCCUGCUGCACGGCGUGUGGCGGCAGCAGGUUUGUCAAUGGGAAUAAAUCCUCUCAAAUCCUCACACGCCCCUAAACACCACGGGGAACUGCAGUUGUUCUUAGCGGUACCUAAAAUCCUGGAACGCGAGUUUUGCCAGAGUAACAACCAAAUGAUUACCCUGCUGUCCUCUUACGAUUCACAUCAGACCUGGCAGCCACAGCGGAUAUCAUCCUGCCUCUGCUAAAUCUUUAAUAUUUCAAAUGCAUAUUCAGAUACCGCUUUCCUGCUAGGAGACGCCUCACAGCGUAGCACCCGGGAGGAUUGCCCUUUGGAGUGAGGUAGAAUUGAAAUAUUUAAAUGUGCUACACUUCCAAAGGCUGGCUUACUGCUCGCCUCCCUUGGAGGAACAAGAAAUAAAUAAUAGAAAAGUGAACUGCGCGAUUCCUCAGUCCCCGAAGUACUAAAGUCAUGGAGUGACUGGAAAAUUAUGCUUGUACAGAGGAGAAUUCACUAUUUUGGUGAGAAGUGUCCGUGCUUACAUGGAGUCAGGAACUAAGACGAACCCUAUCAAUUAAAGCCAAAAGCCAAAACAAAACAGCAAACUCCGCUUCGAAUUGGGGAUUUCUCAGCAAAGUGACACUUGCCGAAGAUCCCGCACGGAGCAGAGCUGAGGUGCAGGUUUCUUGGGAUGUGUAACAUCCAGCCAGUCUUUAAAGACUCCAGCCCCGUGAGCAGCUCGUGGAAGGGCCCCGGCUGUCGACGCGCGGCUGGAGUGGACGGGAAAACCCCGUGGGGAAGCGGAGCAGAGGGAAAAUAUCCCGGCGGCAGCGGACAGACACUUGACCCAAGAAGACUUUGACUUUCCAUGGGGGAAUAGCGUGCAAGUUAUUUUGGAGUUUAGCUCUAUAAUUAGUGACAUAAAGCAGAACUGGCUAAGUUGAAGUCUUUGCUCUCUGGCUGUGUCAGGGAGCUGGUUCCGAGGCUGUCUUUGCGGCCAAGAAUCUUCCCGACUCCUAACCACGAGGGAUAAAGCUGCCCCAAGAGCUCUGCUUUUCCCCCGAAGCAGCGAGAGGACCAGCAGCAGCCCGGGUUCCCGCAGCUCCCCGGUCCCCCAGCAUCCCGGGGGACUUCCAGCAGGACCAAGCCUGGUCCCAGCAGACCACAAAGAGCAGGAAGAGGCGAGGACCCCCCCCAUGGCACCCUGAACGGCCCAGGGCUGGGCCAGCACCGGGGGGGGCCCCACCAGUGGCUCUGCAGGUCCCAUCACGCGUGUUGUCGUCUAAAACCCGGCCUCGGCUGCACCUUACUGCACGUCAGUCCAGAAACUCAGAGGACAAAACUUUGGUGAAUUGAAGGAAAACAAAAAAAAACAAAAAAAAAAACCCAACAAAAAUUGGUUUAACAGAGAGUAAUCGAGUUCACCAUCGUGCAGACUCACCCCCGGAGCGAGGACGUUCCUGUACAUUCACAAAUGACACGCUGGACCUUUUAGGGAACUCUGCUCCUACAGACCCUGGCUGUGAGUCCCGUCAAGAAACGCGCGUUAGACAGCCAGGGAAAGCUUGCAUAAUGGUCAUGAAACAUGAAAACAAUGUUAAUCGUUUUGUAAGAUGCAUUUUUUUAAGGAUUUAAAAAUAGCACACUUAAAAUACCCUGUGUUCAUCUAAGACUAUUUUACUUUGGCAUUAUU